ensembl:lncRNA
UGCCUCAGUGCUAAGUCUCUGGGUAAGUAAGGUAAAGGUAAGUAAGUAAAGCUUUCUGCCCUUCAGAAAUGUGCAGUCAAAUAGCAGAGACCUGUAUGCAUGCAAAUGUAAUUUGUGACGUAACUGCUAGAUACCAGGAAUCUGAACACAGUGCCACCUUAGCAGAAAGAAGACAGCCAUUGCUUGUAGCUGUUGGGAGUUCAGAGUGAGAACUGCUGCCCUCUGACAGGGACUGGAAGUAUGAGAAAGGCUGCUUUUUCAAAAGCAGAAAGGCAUUCCAGGCAGAAGCAAGUGACCCGACAAAGAUAGAAGCUCUUGGUAUCGUUUUUCCUGGGAUCAGCCAACAGUCAAAACUUGUCUGUGGACUGGAUGCAGAUGGGCAUACGGGUGCAAACCGGUGUUUGGAGAUUCUCCCAGACCUAUCCCCACGCGCCCUUGACCUCUCGGACACCCGGUGCAGCCACCCACGCCGGGAUAGGGACUCUAGGCUCCCGGAGCGGUGGGGGCGGGCGGCGCUGCGGACCCGGCGGGCACCGCGGGGCUGCCUCUGCUCGCCAGCAGCCGGGGCCUCCUCCGUGCGCCUCUCCACGCCUGGUUUAUUAUGCACGAGGCAGGCAAUUUGCCUUCCGCCCCGGGGACCCAUCUCGGAGACAAGAAGCCCGAGUGCUUCGCCUGGAGAGAAGGGGAAGAGCCAUUUGGCUGCUAAGAAGUCAUGGAUGCUGAGAGAGAAGGAAAACAAAUUCUUAGCCGUUUCUGAUAAGAGGAGUUGGAGAUGAGAGAAUGGCCUGAAAGUUGCCUAUAAUUUCUAGAAUAGACUGUAAGGCAACAGCGAUGCAAUGACUGAGUCUCUUCUCUGUGACCAGUGAUGGUGGCCAGUGUGCAGUCAGUGGAUCUGGGGACCAUGCUGAGCUCUUUACACACGUUGUUUCAUGGAGCACCACCAGGAAACCCUGUGGGAUGGGUGUUUUUUGUUCCCCCUGCGGAGAUGAGGACUCGGAGACUCAGAGAAGUUGAGUGACCAGCCCUCAGUCACACAGCUGGUUGUGCCUGACUUGAGGCCAAGCUCUUCACUAUUAUGGGGUGGGGCUCCGCGGAGCUUUAGCCCUUGAAGGCAGAGGGCAGGAGAUGGGCUGUUGUGCAUUUCUUGUGUGAGCUUCUGUUUCUUCCUCUUUAAAAUAUGCACAAUACGGUCAUCUUCUCUGAAUUUUUGUAACAGUUAAACAAGAUAGCAAGUCAGUGUAGGAGAAAGGAGAUACCACACUCUUCUGCCCUCUCUCCACUGUCUUUCUGUAUGCAGGGAGCUUGGUGCUAUGAGCCUGGUUGGACACAGACAUCCUUGAGGACUCAGAGGAGCAUUUGGGGUCAGGGGGCCUGAUCCUUUCUGUGUGCAGGACUCCACUGGCAGUCUGGUGAAGCCGAUGUUCCCAAAUGCAUACACUGAAACACCUAAGAUUAUGAAGGAAGCCAAUUGUACUGAAAUACUGUUAUCGAAAGAGUUAAAAAAACAAACAAAAAAAAAAACCCACACCAAAUUUCUGACAGAGUAAUCUACCACUUUCUUUAACAAGGCAUUCAAUAACCAGAUCUAGCAGCAGAUCUAAUAACUACCAUAAUUUCCAAGUUGUGAUGAGUGCAAAUAAUAUUUCAAGAGACCUGCAGCAACUGAGAGAAUGUGAAGGCAUCUUGAUUUCAGUUAUGACAGAAGCACAGGCACUGCUAAUCCUACUGGGGCUCGUAGUGGAGAAAUACUAAAUUCACUUAGAGGUUAGUGAGAUGUAUCACCCUCUCCAGUUUGUUCCCAGAACCCAUCGCCCCCUAAAAUCUAUCCAUGGAUCCAGGUUAAGAGUAGAAGUGACUGGCUGAAAUACAUGUUAGUGUGAAUUACAAAGUACAAUUUAAGGGUAGACAGUUGGGGAGACAGGCCUUCCCUGGUGGCUCAGAUGGUAAAGAAUCUGCCUGCAAUGUGGGAGACCUGGGUUCAAUCCUUGGGUUGGGAAGAUCCCCUGGAGAAGGGAAUGGCUACCCACUCCAGUAUUCUGGCCUGGACAAUUCCAUGGACAGAGGAACUUGGCAGGUUACAGUCCUUGAGGUCUCAAAGAGUUGGGCACGACUGAACAACUUUCACUUUACAAUGGGGGAGAUCAAAUGAAGCCUUCCUUCAGACAGAGAGGUCUGGCAGCACUUGGGCCUUCCUUUGCCUUAUGUUUAUACAUGGAAUAAAGGUAUACUUGGGAAUAUACA